ensembl:lncRNA
CAUAUCUGCAUCCCAAAACCUACUUUUCUUCCAUAGGACUGUAAGGGUUAAUCUUUACUCCUUGAUGACUCUUACGGUUAAGAUUUAUAAGCCAAAACAAGGUAGUUUUUCUUUCGUUUUUCUUCCCAUACCCCCACAGAACUAACACAGCCAUAGGGUUUGAAUUAUGGGAGGAGAUACAACCCUAAAGGAAAAUGAUUCCAUUUCAAACAAGGCCUUGUUUAGAGUAAAAGGUUCUUUAACUGCUUUGAACUGUGAACAGCACUGAAGUGUGGCUCCCCUGUGCGAGCUGGGCCUCUGUGCUGACAUUACCCUUCUGUGUUUAGGGUUGUUCCCGCCGCCUCUGGCGCCGCCACCAGCUCUUCUCAUUCCAACCUUGGAUGGCCAGCCAGCCAGCUACAACAACAGGCAGCCACCUCCCUUUGGCUACAACUCCGCAGAUUCAGGUUUCAUCAGCUACCCACCCAUCUCCACAUCCCACACUCCCUGGGUGACCACGGUGGACAAGGGCACGAGCAGCUCCAGCAGCAGCCACUGGGAGUACUCGGGCUCCAGGCGGGAGAGGGAGCGGGAACGGGAGCGGGAACGGGAGAGGGAGCGAGACCGGGACCGGGACCGCACCCCCACCACCAGUGAAUACAACAAUGACGACGAGCGGUACCGCUACUACAGCCGGGAGCGCAGCUACGACUUCGAGCGCGACUAUCGGCGCAGCCGCGACCGCAGCCGGGAACGAGAGGACCGGCACCGCGAGCGCCGGCACCGCGACAAGGAGGAGAGCUCCAAGCACAAGUCCUCCCGGCGGAAGCAGCACGAGAGCGAGGAGGGGGAGAGUCACCGGCGCCACAAGCACAAAAAGAACAAACGGAGCAAAGAGGAGAAGGAGGCCAGCGAGGACGGGGCCCAGGAGGGAGAGGAGCAGGACACCAAGGAGUGAGCAGGCCCCCUCAGCCCUCGGGAGGAGCCACUCCUGGGCCCCCAGCCUGGCACUGCUGAUGUUUGGGGUGGGGGGUGAUUUUUUUUUAUUAUUUUUUACUUUUUCUAAGGGAAGAGGCCGACUGGGAGCCCUGACACGGCACAGGGCUCGGGGAGCUGAGGCUGCACGUGCCCUUAAACUUCCUUUUUUGUUGUUUUUUGUUUUUGAUACAAGACAAUACAGCAGUACUAGUUACAAAGCACUGAGCUACUCUACUCAUACACAUCCCUAGGGAGGACUUUGGUGUAUCAGAUCCUAUGGUUUCUGAUGGAAGAUGGCUUCAGCUGAAACUAACACAAUUAGGUAAUAGCUUUUGGUUCUUUUUUGUCAUCAUCAUUCCUUUUUCAAUAGGACAGUAAGUGCAACUUGAAAUUUAUUGUCCAAAGAACAGUGUGACUUAGACCCCGAGAGCCAGCCUAGAGUCUGACGUGGUAGUGAAGUCUCAUCCCAGAUAAAUUCCUUUAUAGCUACAGAAAGAGCCUCUGGUUUCUCCAUGGCUGAGGAGCUGCAGGGUCUGCUCUGCCUUCUGGGCACAGGGUCUGCUCCGCCUGACACUCACCCAGCGUGGGCAGAGACCCCAAAACUCACUUUGUUACCCAUUGCAAAGGUAGCUCUGUCAUGUUACACCUCUGAGUGGUGUAAUCGAUGAAGACCUGUAGUAAGAGUUUAAUUACUUUUGACUUGCCUGUUUUGUUUCCUUUUUCUUUCCUGAGUUGAGCUGAAUAACCCAGGGCAGUAGAGAGCACCAAGUCCCAGCAUUUUGCCCUCGUGGGGUUGGCGUUUCUAUUUGGUUAUCACCGACACUCCUGUCCGAUGAAUUCCUUCCCCUAGAUCCCAAAAUAAAUUUAGUCGAAUUCCAAAGUUUCUUUGGACU